UUAGGUCCUAUCUGUAGCUCUGCUGCAAGCCCGUCAUGGUUUUGCAUGGGAGAUGCCAGGACCUUGCUUUGGGGAGCGGGAGGAUGCAACGCCCAACGUGCACUGGGUGGUGGACUGCACCUCCAGUGGCUGCAUGGACACAUCCCAUAGACACGGAUGCUCUUCUCUCUUAGAGAGCAGAGACUUCUCUCUUAGAGCCUUGUUGACAGCUCCGACGCUUGCUGACUGAAUCCUCUUAGCAACCUGAAUUACACCUAUCAUCUAUAUAUGUUAAAAUAUAGAGCUGGGGAAACGGAUGGGUCAGGCCCUUUGGGUCUGGUAGGGAUGGGGCUGUUUAACACCGGUGCUGACCAGCUCCCACAGCCUGGCGGUAUAUGAAAGCCAUAUUUCUGGAGUUACCGGGGCUAGCACUCCCACAAUUAAGGACCUUCCCUCGUGCCCUGCUGCCCUCCCUCCUCCUGCUCAGCUCCCGUUUAUCCCCUCUCAUUUGUCAUCUUUAUUAGUUCGUAAUCUCCCAUCGGUGCGACGCAGUUAAGAGCGGGAUUAGGGGGAAGUUUAAUUGGAUGGCACCCUGCGGCCCUCCCAGCAUCAGAUUCAAUAAAACUUUAUGAAAAGAUAAAAAUCGCAUUGGGUUUUAUAGCUCUGGAUGGAACAAAGGGACCGGAGAGGAGAACAAGGUUUACAGAUGCGUGCAGCUCUGCAAGAUGCAUGCUCUGCCAUGCUGCUGGAGGUAACAGCAGAGCAGUAUGCAUUGCCAGAGGGAGAGCAGCGAACACAGAGCAGCAGUGCCAGAGGCUGCAGUGGGAAAGCUGAUUUCUUCUUCCUUCAGCUGAAAGCAUGGCAGCAAGCAGCAAUCAAACAGUUCUGUUGGUGUUGCUUUGUAAGCCAAGCCGUGUUGUACAAACGAGGGCAGGAAUUCCUUAAAGGAUGAAAUGUUUGGUGGCCUUGCUGCAGAUCCUUUCGAUUCCUCCCCAUCACUUUCCUUACAACAACGCUGUUUCCCCACUUUGCAAGUGCUCAGGGUUGAUAGCGCAGGCAGCUCAGUGCUGCUCCUCCUGAAGGUGGGAUCCAUGAGAAAGCCCCGCAGGCUGCAGGGGACAGAGCAGUGCUGCCAGUCCCUAAAUACCAACAGUGGGCACUCAGUGAAG
ensembl:lncRNA